AUUGAACGCUGGCGGCAGGCCUAACACAUGCAAGUCGAGCGGAUGAAGGGAGCUUGCUCCUGGAUUCAGCGGCAGACGGGUGAGUAAUGCCUAGGAAUCUGCCUGGUAGUGGGGGAUAACGUCCGGAAACGGGCGCUAAUACCGCAUACGUCCUGAGGGAGAAAGUGGGGGAUCUUCGGACCUCACGCUAUCAGAUGAGCCUAGGUCGGAUUAGCUAGUUGGUGGGGUAAAGGCCUACCAAGGCGACGAUCCGUAACUGGUCUGAGAGGAUGAUCAGUAACUGGAACUGAGACACGGUCCAGACUCCUACGGGAGGCAGCAGUGGGGAAUAUUGGACAAUGGGCGAAAGCCUGAUCCAGCCAUGCCGCGUGUGUGAAGAAGGUCUUCGGAUUGUAAAGCACUUUAAGUUGGGAGGAAGGGCAGUAAGUUAAUACCUUGCUGUUUUGACGUUACCAACAGAAUAAGCACCGGCUAACUUCGUG
rnacentral:rRNA from 1 species